AAUUUAUUCAAAAUCUUCUACGUGAGAAGAAAAAAUCUCUCGCUGUGGCCUUCAAUUAGACAUUUCGAUAUAUCGAUGACGUUUUGUCUAUUUUAAUUAUAACUUUCAUUCAUAUCACUGUCAUGAUCGUGUGCAGGAUUGGACAAAACAAGAUGGCAGACGGCAUUUCCAAACAAAGAUCCAGUCAGGAGCGGACUUCCUUAAACUUAAAAGUUGCAAGUGAAUGAAGUGUGUUCUAUUUUAUGUCUCCUACUAAAACCAUGGUUUUGACAAACCUAGAAGAGCACGUGGAGCAAGGAACUAUCAGUAAGCCGGAAGAGCCAGCUCAAAAAUCUUUAAGUGUUUGAGAAUUUCACCGCGCACAUGAGUCUAAAGUUCUGCCACACGCUAGAAGGAGCCUUGUUCUCGGAGAUCAACAUGUUGAAAAGUCUUCAUUUUGCAGAAGCAAAUACAUUUAUAUUGUAUAUACACGUGUAGACCAUGUUCGAUUCCCAACCACUUAAAAUUUGUGAUAUCUGCAUGGAAUUAUUAAAACUGAGCAUGGUUUGACGUAUAAUAAUCUCUUUAGGCACGAUGGUUUACAUUUCACAAAGCUGUUCAAUGACAAUAAAGACAAUAAGAUGUU